rnacentral:lncRNA from 1 species
CCGGGGUGUGUGGUAGAAAGCUGUGUGUGGGGUCUGUGGUAAAAGGCUGUCUGUGUGGGGUCUGUGGUAGAAGGCUGUGUGUGUGGGGUGUGUGGUAGAAGGCUGUGUGUGGUAGAAGGUGGGAUGUGUGGUAGAAGGCAGUAUUUGGGGUGUGUGGUAGAAGGCUGUGUGUGGGGAUGUGGGGUGUGUGGUAGAAGGCUGUGUAUGUGGGGUGUGUGGUAGAAGGCUGUGUGUGUGGGGAUGUGGGGUGUGGUAUAAGGCUGUGUGUGGGGUGUGUGGUAGAAGGCUGUGUGUGGGGUGUGUGGUAGAAGGCUGUGUAUGUGGGGUGUGUGGUAGAAGGCUGUGUGUGUGUGGAGGAACAAAGGAACAUGGAGGAACAAAGUGUUACACAACACACAUUUGUCUGUUCUUGCUCAUUUGGCUAGCUAAGAUACUAACCUGCCAAUACCUGAACACACUU